UACGUAGGGUGCGAUCGUUAAUCGGAAUUACUGGGCGUAAAGCGUGCGCAGGCGGUUGUGUAAGACAGGCGGGAAAUCCCCGGGCUCAACCUGGGAAUGGCGCUUGUGACUGCACAGCUGGAGGGCGGCAGAGGGGGAUGGAAUUUCGCGUGUAGCAGUGAAAUGCGUAGAUAUGCGGAGGAAAACCGAUGGCGAAGGCAGUCCCCUGGGCCUGCACUGACGCUCAUGCACGAGAGCGUGGGGAGCAAUCAGG
rnacentral:rRNA from 1 species